AUGAACGCUGGCGGCGUGCCUAAUACCUGCAAGUCGAGCGAACGGACGAGAAGCUUGCUUCUCUGAUGUUAGCGGCGGACGGGUGAGUAACACGUGGAUAACCUACCUAUAAGACUGGGAUAACUUCGGGAAACCGGAGCUAAUACCGGAUGAUAUUUUGAACCGCAUGGUUCAAAAGUGAAAGACGGUCUUGCUGUCACUUAUAGAUGGAUCCGCGCUGCAUUAGCUAGUUGGUAAGGUAACGGCUUACCAAGGCAACGAUGCAUAGCCGACCUGAGAGGGUGAUCGGCCACACUGGAACUGAGACACGGUCCAGACUCCUACGGGAGGCAGCAGUAGGGAAUCUUCCGCAUUGGGCGAAAGCCUGACGGAGCAACGCCGCGUGAGUGAUGAAGGUCUUCGGAUCGUAAAACUCUGUUAUUAGGGAAGAACAUAUGUGUAAGUAACUGUGCACAUCUUGACGGUACCUAAUCAGAAAGCCACGGCUAACUACGUG
rnacentral:rRNA from 1 species